rnacentral:rRNA from 1 species
CUUUCCUUGAUGACGACUGGCGCACGGGUGAGUAACGCGUAUCCAACCUUCCCAUAACUACGGGAUAACCCGUUGAAAGACGGCCUAAUACCGUAUGAUAUCGUUUGCUGACAUCAAAUAACGAUUAAAGGUUUAGCGGUUAUGGAUGGGGAUGCGUCUGAUUAGCUUGUUGGCGGGGUAACGGCCCACCAAGGCGACGAUCAGUAGGGGUUCUGAGAGGAAGGUCCCCCACAUUGGAACUGAGACACGGUCCAAACUCCUACGGGAGGCAGCAGGC